UACGUAGGGGGCAAGCGUUGUCCGGAAUCAUUGGGCGUAAAGAGCGUGUAGGCGGCUCGAUAAGUCUGCUGUGAAAGUCCAGGGCUCAACCCUGGAAGGCCGGUGGAAACUGUCGGGCUAGAGUCCGGAAGAGGCGAGUGGAAUUCCCGGUGUAGCGGUGAAAUGCGCAGAUAUCGGGAGGAACACCAGUGGCGAAGGCGACUACCUGGCCUGUUUCUUGACGCUGAGGCGCGAAAGCUAGGGGAGCAAACGGG
rnacentral:rRNA from 1 species